rnacentral:rRNA from 1 species
ACGCUAGCUACAGGCUUAACACAUGCAAGUCGAGGGGCAGCAUGGAAGAAGCUUGCUUCUUCUGAUGGCGACCGGCGCACGGGUGCGUAACGCGUAUCAAACCUGCCUCAUACUCGGGGAUAGCCUUGCGAAAGUAAGAUUAAUACCCGAUGUUGUUAUGUUACCGCAUGGUGAUAUAACCAAAGAUUUAUCGGUAUGAGAUGGUGAUGCGUCCGAUUAGGUAGUAGGCGGGGUAACGGCCCACCUAGCCUUCGAUCGGUAGGGGUUCUGAGAGGAAGGUCCCCCACACUGGAACUGAGACACGGUCCAGACUCCUACGGGAGGCAGCAGUGAGGAAUAUUGGUCAAUGGACGGAAGUCUGAACCAGCCAAGUAGCGUGCAGGAUGACGGCCCUCCGGGUUGUAAACUGCUUUUAGUUGGGAAUAAAAAAGAGGACGUGUCCUCUAUUGUAUGUACCUUCAGAAAAAGGACCGGCUAAUUCCGUGCCAGCAGCCGCGGUAAUACGGAAGGUCCAGGCGUUAUCCGGAUUUAUUGGGUUUAAAGGGAGCGUAGGCGGAUUAUUAAGUCAGUGGUGAAAGACGGUGGCUCAACCAUCGUUAGCCAUUGAAACUGGUAGUCUUGAGUGCAGACAGGGAUGCUGGAACUCGUGGUGUAGCGGUGAAAUGCUUAGAUAUCACGAUGAACUCCGAUCGCGAAGGCAGGUGUCCGGGCUGCAACUGACGCUGAGGCUCGAAAGUGUGGGUAUCAAACAGGAUUAGAUACCCUGGUAGUCCACACAGUAAACGAUGUAUACUCGCGGUUUGCGAUACAAUGUAAGCCGCCAAGCGAAAGCAUUAAGUAUACCACCUGGGGAGUACGCCGGCAACGGUGAAACUCAAAGGAAUUGACGGGGGCCCGCACAAGCGGAGGAACAUGUGGUUU